GACGAACGCUGGCGGCGUGCUUAACACAUGCAAGUCGAGCGGAAAGGCCACUUCGGUGGUACUCGAGCGGCGAACGGGUGAGUAACACGUGAGUAAUCUGCCCCUGGCUUUGGGAUAGCCACCGGAAACGGUGAUUAAUACCGGAUAUGACACAUUCUCGCAUGAGUUUGUGUGGAAAGUUUUUCGGCCAGGGAUGUGCUCGCGGCCUAUCAGCUUGAUGGUGAGGUAAUGGCUCACCAUGGCUUCGACGGGUAGCCGGCCUGAGAGGGUGACCGGUCACACUGGGCCUGAGACACGGCCCAGACUCCUACGGGAGGCAGCAGUGGGGAAUAUUGGACAAUGGGCGGAAGCCUGAUCCAGCAACGCCGCGUGAGGGAUGACGGCCUGCGGGUUGUAAACCUCUUUCAGUACCGACGAAGCGCAAGUGACGGUAGGUACAGAAGAAGCACCGGCCAACUACGUG
rnacentral:rRNA from 1 species